AGAUUGAACGCUGGCGGCAUGCCUUACACAUGCAAGUCGAACGGCAGCGCGGGGCAACCUGGCGGCGAGUGGCGAACGGGUGAGUAAUAUAUCGGAACGUACCCUGGAGUGGGGGAUAACGUAGCGAAAGUUACGCUAAUACCGCAUACGAUCUAAGGAUGAAAGUGGGGGAUUCGCAAGAACCUCAUGCUCCUGGAGCGGCCGAUAUCUGAUUUAGCUAGUUGGGUAGGGUAAAGGCCUACCAAGGCAUCGAUCAGUAGCUGGUCUGAGAGGACGACCAGCCACACUGAACUGAGACACGGUCCAGACUCCGUACCGGGAGGCCAGCAGUGGGGAAUUUUGGACGAGUGGGCGAAAGCCUGAUCCAGCAAUGCCGCGUGGAGUGAAGGAAGGCCUUCGGUUAGUAAGUCUUCUUUGUA
rnacentral:rRNA from 1 species